rnacentral:siRNA from 1 species
UCACGGCCAUGCGGAUGUUAGC